rnacentral:rRNA from 1 species
UACGUAGGGUGCGAGCGUUAAUCGGAAUUACUGGGCGUAAAGCGUGCGCAGGCGGUUCGUUGUGUCGGCGGUGAAAGCCCCGGGCUCAACCUGGGGAUGGCAGUGGAAACUAGGGGACUGGAAUCUGGCAGAGGGGGGUGGAAUGCCGCGUGUAGCAGUGAAAUGCGUAGAGAUGCGGCGGAACACCGAUGGCGAAGGCAGCCCCCUGGGCUGAGAUUGACGCUCAGGCACGAAAGCGUGGGAAGCAAACAGG